rnacentral:rRNA from 1 species
UACGGAGGGUGCAAGCGUUGUUCGGAAUUACUGGGCGUAAAGCGCGCGCAGGCGGUCUGUCAAGUCUGAUGUGAAAGCCCCGGGCUCAACCCUGGAACUGCAUUCGAAACUGUCAGACUAGAAUCUUGUAGAGGGGGGUGGAAUUCCUGGUGUAGCGGUGAAAUGCGUAGAGAUCAGGAGGAAUACCGGUGGCGAAGGCGGCCCCCUGGACCGAGAUUGACGCUGAGGCGCGAAAGCGUGGGUAGCAAACAGG